ensembl:lncRNA
CGGGAGGCCGCGAGCCUCGCCAUGCUUUGGAGGGGAAGGCGCACACACGUGAGCUCUUGGACCACCCGGCAGCUCCCGAGCAGCUGCUGUGUCGCCUUGUCGCAUUGGCUGAUCUGUGAACCUUUCACCUUUUAUCUAGUUGGUACGAACUAUGGAUACUGAGCUUGAUAGAUAGAGUUGGCAGAGCAGAGAGGUGGUUACAGUGUUCCCUUUCCUUGUGUUAUAAUGUAUAUCUGGUUAUUCUUUGUCUCCUUGUAUUUAUUCUGUCACUGUGGAAGAUUCACAGAUGGUUGACUCUGGGAUUGGUCUGGUUUUUGAUUUGUUUGCCUGUACUGAAAGUGUUGCUGGUGCAAAACAGCAUCAACAGUGGAGAUGAGGGACCCUUAUGAUGAACAGGACAUUUCUCAAGUCUGCUGACAUGGUUACCUAGGGUGAAACAAAAUUACAGGCUUGGAAACUCUGGAAAAGCUCAGCAUCAGUAUUUGAGAGCCGAAGCCUGCAAAUUAUGUGAUUAACCUACAAGCUGAUAUCAUGAUGUCAAAAUGCAGUUUGGAAAGCAUAAGCACAGAGGCUGCAGAGAUUAAAACGGUAAGUGCAUGCUUUGUAGUACAGGAGAAAUAGAUUUUUUAUGUAUCAUUUUGCUGUAUUCUGCCUGAUAUGUAAAACUCCUUCAGGACCACCACGUCACCAUAAGGUAAGUGAGACUGUAGAAAUUUACCCUGAAUUUCUUUGAAAUGAAUAAGAAUGAUUAAAAUAGCUAAUUUAUUUUAUCUGUAGGUGGUUAGAUAAAGCAGUGGCAUAAAGAAAAAAGGCAUUUGUUGUGAAAUACGUGCCUUGAUAUCUCUUGUGAAACUGAAUGUAAAUGUGUUCUUUUUGUUUUGACAUUUUUAAAAAGUGAAUGUUGUGUUUAAGUAUUUCUUGUGGGUUUUUGCAGUGAAAUGUAUUUCUAUAGAAUAAAUAAAAUCAAUUUUUAAAAAGUGGGAAGAGGGAAGAUGUGUAGGAUUAAAAUUAGAAUUGAGUUUGUUUCAGAUAGAAGGAUAAAUAAACAACAAGAUAAUAACUAUAUAACUAAAAUAAACAAGAUAGAAGGAUGAAAAAAUAACAGAUAAAGUUAUUGUCUUGAA